rnacentral:rRNA from 1 species
GACGAACCGUCCGAACGUUAUUCGGAAUCACUGGGCUUAAAGGGUGCGUAGGCGGCGCGGUAAGUCGGGUGUGAAAUCUCGGAGCUUAACUCCGAAACUGCAUUCGAUACUGCCGUGCUUGAGGACUGGAGAGGAGACUGGAAUUUACGGUGUAGCGGUGAAAUGCGUAGAUAUCGUAAGGAAGACCAGUGGCGAAGGCGGGUCUCUGGACAGAUCCUGACGCUGAGGCACGAAGGUCAGGGGAGCAAACGGG